rnacentral:lncRNA from 1 species
AUGACAUUUAAAAUAAUAAAAUUAUUUGUGAUUUGAAUAAGGGUAAUUUAGGAAAUAUGAAAAAAUUAGAAGGAUAGAAAAGUAAAUUUAUGUUUCAUUCUCAUUCCCACAUUUUCAUUCCCAACCCCCCAUGGGAAUGAGAUUCCCAUUCCUUAUUCCCAAAUUGUGUGGGACCCUCACAUUUUAUUUACAUUCCCAAAUUACAUUUUGUCAAGUAAACAUAGGUUUCAUUCACAUUCCCCAAACCCACAAGUAAACACACCGUUAGUGUUCCAAAUCACAAAAUUGUGCAGAGACCAAGAAGAAAAGAAAAGAUUAAAUUUGAUGGAACGUACUUUUAGAAAUGUGGAUCAUGGGUUGAUUCGUGAGUUUAAUUUUUAUUUAGGUUUCAGGCCCAACUGUCAUUUAGUAAUGAUUGACUAGCAUAUUUGGAAGAGGCUUUGAGGAAAACCACCUAUAACAUACACUGGUAUUUAUAGGACGAGUUACUUUACGAUUUUCUAAAGGAAACAAAUGUUGGAGAAAAAUUAGUUUUUUAAAUUUUUAUAAAAAAUUUUUAUGAUCGCUCUCAUACAAUAUAUAAGAAUUUGUAAUAUAGAAAUCGUACCUUAAAAAUCUAAUUUGGCCUUUUCCACUGAAGUAAUUUACGCUCCCAGAUCACGAUCCGUCACCACCGCUCCUGUUAGAUCACGAUCCGCCACCAAAUAAUCUUUCAGGCUAUGACUCGAGUUUGAUCUGCACUUGACGUGUGGGCGCCUUUAUCACCACUAAAGCAACUAGCACGAGAAAAUUUUUCUCUCAAAAUUAGAGAGUAAUUUUUUUUUCUCUGAUGUGUAUAUUGCGGCUCUCCUCUUUUUUUCUUUAGAGAAAAUAAGCCUUUUUAUAUCUCCCUUUAGUGAAAACCCUAUGCUCCAAAUAAUAAAAAUAAAAGUCACGUUACUUGCUUUUUCUAUAGGGGCCCACCUUGUAAAAUAAUAUAAGGCCCCUUACACACAAGCAUAUUAAAUGGAGUCUCCCACUAAAUGAUAUAUUUAGGCUUUUGACCCAAAUAACUAAUUAUCUUGCUUAUUAAUCCAGUAGUGGUGCAGUCAAUUAAAUGAGCUAACCCGGGGAUCAUUUGGGAACAUAUAAUAGUGACUACAAUAAUUAGGCAUGUAAUUAAAUUAACUCAAUUAUUUAAUUCCAAAUUUACUCUACUAAAAGAUUGGAACUGACUUCCAUAAUUGUAUACUCGAAUAAUAAUUUGUCCCAAGCCACAUUGAUUUCUUUACUGCAUAAUCAUUUGUACCACAUCGUUAAUUAAAUCGAUAUCUCAACUGUCCAAUCGAUUUAAUUACAUCUUAUUCCUUGAUACUUACUGAUUUUCUCUAAUGAUCAUUUUCAACAUACUAAAUAUGUUGACACACUCUGGCCAGAGAAUUCUAUGAUCAAGUGCCGAAAACCUAUCAAGAGAUGUGUUGUACAAAUUCUAUAAUGUUAAUCUAUAACUCCAAUAUUCAUAAUUGCUCCCACUAAGAUACCAGGUAAUAUUGACCACAAGUGUGUGUCGUGCCCAUUGGUAACUCAAAUGGAAUAACAAUUACAAUCAUGAAAUUAUAACUAACUCAAAAUUAAGAUUAUAGUAAAAUCAAUGCCUUUGAGAUUUAAUAAGUCUGACAGUCAUUUCAAGGUUAAUUAAAUCUCAUAUGUGAUUCAGCUCAAUGUAGUCAAACUACAUCAGUAAAUUCAUACAUGAUUAAGAAAAAUCAUUCAAUGAAUUUACUACGGUCUAAACAUAAAUAGAGCACCCAACUCUAUUUAUCAACUGCGAACUUAAUUUAUUUAAUCAUAAGAUAACUUGUAUUUUUGUCUUCUGUGAAUCCAUCUAAUGAUCACAUAAAUACAUAUAAUAUGAUUAAAUGGAUCUUAUUCAAUAUAUUUAUGCAAUUGAAAAAUAUCUCAAAUAUUUUAUUAAUUAGAAAAUAAAUUAAUAUGCUUUAAAAGAGCACAUAAUCCCAACAAAAAAAUGUUUGGAGGAGAUGGGGAAGAAAUCACAGGAAAAGACUUAUGAACCAAGAGGUAAGCUUUAAUUAUCUGUCUUCAAUGAUUUGGAGAAAAGCUUGACUAGAUAAGAAUGUUGGUAACCUAUGAAAUUCCAGAGAAUUAUAUAGAGGGUUACGAAUUUCAUAAUAUUUCAAAUAUAACGUUUUGGAGUCUGAAUUUCUAAUAUGUUAAACUAGACAUAUUCAAGGAUGUUUUAAAAUUUGUUUCAUGAAAAUCGGAUAAGAAAUCAAUUUAUUAUGUGCUAGAAAAUAUCACAAUGACAUGAGGAACGUUAGUAAAAUACAAAUUACAAUCAAGCAACUAAAAAUACACAUGAGAACAGCUAAGCAUAUAACUGAUAUAAAAUAUAAAAUUAUUACGAAAUAAUAAUAAAAUUAAGGAGAAGAGUAAGAAAAAAGUCUUGUGGCUUGUGUGAUUCCAUAGUAUCCUUAAGAUAAUUACACCUCGUAUUAUAGUGCAUAUUCUCUCGACAUUUGUCUCUCAUAAUACAAUGAGAUCAAAUAGCUAUGACGUACCACCAUUUUAUUUAUAUUGAACUUUUGUCGCGUUCGAACUAAUAGAUGCACGACAAAAUGAGGAAUUGAGGAUUAUCUAUCUUUAUUUAUUUAUCUAUUUUAAUUUCUAUUCUUAUCAUUUUCCAUACAUCUCUAAUCUCUCUAAAUGAAGAAGAUGAAUGUGCUAAUUUAUAGGAUUCUGCAAGAGUUUGAGGGCCAUUUUUAUCCAUAAAUUUGACUACAUAAAUUCUAUAACUACUACAUUUAAUUUCCCAUUAAAUGCAAUUAUAUUUAAUUAAAAGUAAAUGACUUUUAAACUUUUGAUUUAAUUCUUAAAUUAAAUUCAAAGUGUAAUUGCAGUUUCAUUAACAAUAUUAUUUGGGGAGAAACAGAAAAAUUGUAGUAAAAUGCUAUGUGUCGAUGAAGGGCGCCAUGGCUCUAAUCGAUCACUAUACGCACCCGAGGUACCUGACCUAUACCACAAACUCAAGUACCCUAGGUACCUAGCCUAUACCAAUAAGUGCGGUACCCGCGGUACCACCAGAUAUGCCUGUAGAUUAAGAAGGUACGAGGGGUAUCCUAGAUCAUAUACAGAACGGUCAAGGAAGUCUCUAAAAAGUCAAGCAUAAGAAAUGUCUCAAUCGUCUAAAAGAUAUUUUGAUAUUUGAUUUUUAUAAAAUCAAAUAUCAAAAUAUCUUGCUAAAAAAAGUGACGACAGUCGACUGUCACCUCUGCUAAAAAGUGAAGGACAUUGUACCAAGGACAGUGGUCCUCAACAGCCCUACCAGACAACCUUUUCUCAGUUAUCUUGGACCACUCUCCAGUGUACACUACAUGUCCAAAAGGAUAAAUUAUGUCAUGAACGCCUUCUUGCUCUCCAAGCAUGCUCUUAAUGGUUCAAAAAUCAUAAAAAAGGUAAAAGGACGGAAAAAGUCUAGAAAAGAACAACCAAUAACCAUUAGAAAUGUGCCACGUGACAACCAGGGUACUCCAUGUAUAAAGGCAUUCACGUUCUAUUUUCAUCAUUUAACAUCACGCACACACUCCAUAAAAAAAAGGCUAAGGUCUUCUUCAACCUUAAGCCAUUAUUUUAGAGGGUUGUCAAGCUCUCACCACCAUAAAAAUGCUUGAGUAGAUGACUUGAGUGUCAGAGUAUGGACGCAGGGCCACCCCGACUCCACCUCUAACCUCUUUUUCAUUAUUUUAAAGGUUAAAAGCUUAUCUCAAAGGACUUCAUUUUCAGAUUUCAAACUAUCGCUGUCAUCACCAUCCUCCCACUUUCCCUACCUCCUUUGAAUCUUAAAAAUAUCGCCCACAACAAUCUAGUGUGAUACUCUAGUUACCCAAAAAAAUAAAUCUGUUGUUCUACAUAGGUUUUUCUCUUUUCUUUUGCACUCAAAAUUUGUCUAAAACACAUCUAUUAAAUUAUGGAUUUAAUUUUAAAUUAAAAUUUGAAUUUAAUUGACCACUACAAUCUCUGAAUAAAUUCUGAAUUAAUUAGAACUUACAGAUAAUAAAUUAGGUAACUAAUGUCAAAUUUAACGAGCUGUUACAAUUUUUAUAAUUCUUGUUGUUAUUCAAUGCAACCAAUUAGUGUAUUUUAAGUGUCAACUUCUCAUUCGCUCAAAGCAUUACUUUGAGUAUAAAAAUACAUCAUUUUAAUAUUUUCUCGGAGGAGGAUCCAAAUCAAUUAUAUCCUAUUUACACAAAGUAGAUUCACUUAAAAUUAUGCUUUGAAAUAACAACGCAAUAUGCUAGUUUUUCAACAUUAUGAAUUUUCAAACUCAAAUCUAAAAUCUUGGAAAUUUCUAAUUCCAAUGAAUAACAUGAAAGUCUUUCCUUCUCUUAUAGCUUUGCUGUGGCCAUGGCCCGAAGAAGCCUUGCGCGCUUGUACAAUGUUCAAGUUAAGGCUCUGGCCAACGAGUAGGAUGGAGUCUUUGUUUUCUAUUAUAUUAGUAAAGCAUGCCACAUAUAUUGAAUGAAGAAAAAAAAAGCGGUCUCUUAAAGAUUAGUGUUAUGAACUUGACCUUUGUACAACUGAUCAAAUUCACCCCACGACCCUGUUCUGUUUCAAAAUGCAAGAUUAAUCAACCAAGACUCACACGCACAAUACUCAGAUCAAUGAUCAAAACAAAUCAGAAACAAAAACACCAAAUGUAAGUGGUUCAGCACCAUGUGUUGGUGCCUACAUUCAUUGAGAAAUCAAGCACUAUUAUUGAGAUCAAAGGCUACAAAGAAUAGAUGAUGAUUACAGAGAACAAAAAUGACUAACACUUUCUCUCUCCUCUCAACUCUACUCUCUCUCUCUCAUGAUGAUGAAGAUGGCACCAGAACCAGAUUUUAUAUUCUGUUUUCUGGGUUUGUUACUUCAACAAAUUCCCGCCAAAACCAAUAGCCAGUAACAACCUCAUGCACGUGCAAGACUCAUGACUUAUAAAUGACCUCAAAAUGCCAUGUUCCAUGUCGUUUCAAGCUGCCUUAAAUGAGCCUUCAUCAUAUGUUUUGCAUGUGCAAUACUAAAGCCUCUGUAUGACAAAUUCGAUCUUGUCGUUUUUGCUUCAAACCUCUGGCAGACGACACAGCAUACACACAUACACUGAGCAUUUGACACGCCUGACAUGAGUACUGAGUUCAUAUUCCAACAAUUAUGAAAUUUGAAGAAGUGAUUUAUUUGUAUGUCUAGUAUAAUUCUGGAAAGUUUCAUGAUCUUAUGAUAGAUCACGGAAUAAUUGAUAUUGAUUUAUUGAAAAUUGUAUUCAUGGUUUUGGCUUACUCUCUGUUGUAAAUUGACCGGGUCACUAAGAUUAUUGGUGAUAUAUUGAAUAACUAGAACAUCAGAAGUACAUGUGACACAAUGUGGAAUGAGUAAUUUUUUGAAAGAAAAAUUUUCUCAAAUGCUUACUUGUUUAAAAUGAAUUUAAGUUAAAAAGAUUUUAUAUAUUCUAUCUUUAAUUUGUUAUGAAAUUUACCAAUUACAUAGGCACUAGCUUAUACAAUGAUUAUUAUUCCCAGAUUGUGGUUUUAUAAUAAAUGCUAUGCAUUUCAAUUGUUAUUAGUAACUUUAUGCAUGAGUUUACUUACCGAAUUGAUGGCUCACCCUGACUCCAAUAUUUUUAGGAUUCAUUUAUGGUAUGUUUACUUCAAGGAAUGAGAAUAGGCUGGGAAUGAGAAUUGACUGGAAUGAGAACGAGAUUUUAAUGUUUACUUGGUAAAAAUAAAUGAGAAUGAGAAUGUGCUAGAAUGCAAUUGAUGUAUUUACUUGGCAAAAUAAAUGAGAAUAAGGAAUGAGAAUGAGAAUGAGAAUCAAUUUACCAAAAUACCCAGUAUUAAUAAUUAAUAAAAAUAAUUAAUUUAUCAUUAUUAACAAAAUUAUCAUUAUUGUUGAUUAUUAUUAU